AGUGAACGCUGGCGGUAGGCCUAACACAUGCAAGUCGAACGGCAGCACAGUAAGAGCUUGCUCUUACGGGUGGCGAGUGGCGGACGGGUGAGGAAUACAUCGGAAUCUACUUUUUCGUGGGGGAUAACGUAGGGAAACUUACGCUAAUACCGCAUACGACCUACGGGUGAAAGCAGGGGAUCUUCGGACCUUGCGCGAUUGAAUGAGCCGAUGUCGGAUUAGCUAGUUGGCGGGGUAAAGGCCCACCAAGGCGACGAUCCGUAGCUGGUCUGAGAGGAUGAUACGCCACACUGGAACUGAGACACGGUCCCGACUCCUACGGGAGGCAGCAGUGGGGAAUAUUGGACAAUGGGCGCAAGCCUGAUCCAGCCAUACCGCGUGGGUGAAGAAGGCCUUCGGGUUGUAAAGCCCUUUUGUUGGGAAAGAAAAGCAGCAGGUUAAUACCCCGCUGUUCUGACGGUACCCAAAGAAUAAGCACCGGCUAACUUCGUG
rnacentral:rRNA from 1 species